UCGUCCCUACGGGAGGCAGCAGUGAGGAAUAUUGGUCAAUGGACGGAAGUCUGAACCAGCCAUGCCGCGUGCAGGAUGACGGCUCUAUGAGUUGUAAACUGCUUUUGUAUUAGGGUAAACACCCCUACGUGUAGGGGCUUGAAAGUAUAAUACGAAUAAGGAUCGGCUAACUCCGUGCCAGCAGCCGCGGUAAUACGGAGGAUCCAAGCGUUAUCCGGAUUUAUUGGGUUUAAAGGGUGCGUAGGCGGUUUGAUAGGUUAUAGGUGAAUUACCGGUGCUCAACACGG
rnacentral:rRNA from 1 species